UACGUAGGGCGCAAGCGUUGUCCGGAAUCACUGGGCGUAAAGGGCGCGUAGGCGGGAUGGCAAGUCGGUCGUGAAAUCCUUCGGCCCAACCGAAGAACGUCGGCCGAUACUGCCGUUCUUGAGGGAUGCAGAGGAGACUGGAAUUCCCGGUGUAGCGGUGAAAUGUGUAGAGAUCGGGAGGAACACCGGUGGCGAAGGCGGCAUGCUGGACCUUCACUGACGCUGAGGCGCGAAAGCUAGGGUAGCGAACGGG
rnacentral:rRNA from 1 species